CCAAGAAAAGCACGUUUCAGGUGUGAAGGAGCAGUAAUCCAGUGAAGGCAGUCGAGACGUCAAGGAGAAGAAAGGUGGGGGGACGAGCAGCCCUGGUUGCGGGCAGGCAGCGCAGAAAGCCUCGGCGAACCUCACGAGAGACACCGCGGGUGAGAGCAGGGGGUUGGAAUCUUCUGGAGGAAUUCACUCUUUCCUAUGGAUGACUCCAAACCCAAGUCACUGUCUGCACUGACCUCUGACCAGGGCAACAGGAUCUAGGCUCUUCGUUCACAGGGUUGAUCUGGAUUCUUCCACAACCGGCUCAUCGUGCAUAAUAGAUGUCUGUGGCCUUGGAGAAGGCAAGGAAUGGCAGUCGGGUUCCUCGCAGCCCAGCGAGGGAGGCCAUUCUGAAGUGGCUCUGACACACCCCUUGGUCCUCACUGUCCCCCACCACUGGGGACCUUCCUCGAUGACCUCUCCCCAGACCCCAGCUUCCUCCAUCGUGUCCUCUGCCCCAACCUCCUGGACCGCCCCCCAGAUCCCUCACCUCUCCUGCCUCUGAGGUCCUGCCACUCCUAUUUUUUCCAGCCAAUGCGCCCUCAUCCCAGGCAGAAAGGUCUUGUUGCUAUGGCAGGAGGGAUUGAUUGCCCACUCUCUUCCUUGCCAACAGAACCCCACUCUUUGGGAUUGAAUACUGAGAGUCCAGCCACUUUCCAUGCACAGCCAUCUAGCAAUCAUGUGGCCUCUGUCCUCAGCUCCAGCAUUCCCCACGGCCAUCUUUCCACAACCAAAGAGGCUCAUUAAAAGCUAUUAAAAAAAUCCCUCCCCAAGAGGUUACCCCGGGCUCUAAGGCUAACUUCCACAUUUCUCGUUCCCAUGUUGAAAUUAGGGCUGUGUGGUGUGUUGUGGUGUGAAAUUCGGGCCUCAGCCUUCCGUCAGGACCCCACACCCGCACUCACCAUUUUCUAUCUUAUCAUCCACCCACUUCCCCGGGCUUAGGAGAAGAAGGGCUCUCCCAACCUCCCCUGCCCAGCUAACCUACCAGACCCCUCCUCUCUCUGCACCGAGCUACAGUUCCCUGUUAUUCCCACUCUGUCUCUGGCAGAGCCAUUUCCUCCAGGAAGCUGUCCCCAUCUGGACUGGGGUCCCCUCCUUUCUUCCCUCACAGCCCCCUGAGUGCCCUGUCCUCCCAUUUAGAUGGCAUUGCUUGUGACUUGGUCUGCUCCUGCCUGAGACUGGGAGCAUCUGAGGGCAAGGCGUGUGUCCAUCCGUUCAACAAAUACACAUGAAGUGUCUGCCGCGUGCCAGACACUGUUCAAGGCACAGCGUCCCCCUGGUGAGCAGAGCGAAGGCCCUGCUGUCGUGGAGAUUACGUUCUUGUGGGAGAAGACAGACACAUAGUAACUGAUACAUGGCAGGAGGUCGUUAAGUGCUGUGAAGGAAAAAGCAGAACCAGAGGCUAGAGAGAGAAGGAGGGGCGGCCCUUGGAGAGGCAGGGUGAGGGGAAGCAUCUCUGAGCAUGUGACCUGUGGUCAAGGCUGGAGUGAAGUGAGCUGGCCAAGCAGACACCUGGAGGAGAGCCUCCGGGACAGAGGCAAGAAAAAGUCUAAAAGCCCCGAGGAGGAGUGUGCCCCGAGGCUUAGAGGGUCCAGCAGUGCGGAUAAAGCAAAGGAGAGUGAGUGCGAUGGGCUGGGUGAGGGAGCCAGGGGCCGUGUCAGAGCAGACAUUGGAGGCUGUCUCUGCAUCCUUUCACACUUUUAGCAGGAUGGCUACUCUCCUGUGCUCCAUGAACAUUCUUGGAGUGAAUGAAUGAACGAACGCUUAGAAUCAUGCUGAGGUUUACUAACAUGCUGAGGUGUCCUAAAAAUGACCUCUGUCCACUGUGUAUCUGCCCAUCCCUCUAGGGGUCCUUCCCCAGGGAAACAAAAUGUCCCACCUGUCAAAGGGCUGCACACUCACAAAGGUUAAAUCUGCCUUCCGAGAAGUGUCCACAGUAGGGUAGACUCGUUUCAUCAGGAUCAUUUGUCCUCAGUGGGGUUCCUUUUAUGUUAAUGAGCAGACUUCCCGUCCUCCCCAGCCCUGGAAAAAUCUCCCAAGAUGACUGCCUGACUGUCCCUUUCUCAGGGUCCUGCCAGGAAGUUGGACGUGCAGCUCACACUGGUGACCAGGGGACAUAUCCUGCAACCUGAACGCCUCCACUUCCUGGUUCUGGCAAAUCGCUUUACUUGUGUGAACAAGAACGUUUCACUGCCUGGUCCAUCUCAUGACCUGAUUUGACCCAACUAGAGGUUCAGAAAUUAGUCUCCAUACACUGAGAGAUUGAGUGUAGCUACACGUAACUCUAAGCCCAAAUAACAGUGGCUUAAACAAGAUGGGGGUGUUUUUUCCUUUCACAUCACAAAAAGUCCUGAGGUCAGUACUCAGAGGCUGGUGCAGCCGACCUUGGCUAUCAUCAGGGCCCUGGGUUGGGAUUCCCAUUCACAUGCUUGCAACAUGACUGCUGGUGCUCCGGCAAUCAUCUCUGCAUUCCCAACUGGAAGAAAGAAAGGGGCAAAGGACAAAAGGGCUUUUCAAAGCCUGGAAAACAUAUGCAGGAGCUGUGUCACAUGGCCACUCCAAUUUGCAAGGUAGGCAGGGAAAUGUUUUUCAGCUGUCCCUGGGAAAAUUGGGCCCCUAUUGGUAAGGCUAGGGGAGAAUAAAUAUCAGACAGACCACAAAGAUUAUCUGCCAGGAUCCACUUCUUGAGCUACCCAUCAACCAUAAAAACCCUUCUUCACAUUCAUAUUCAUGUCCACUAAGGGCAAUGCCCUCCUUUCCAUCAUGUAUAGAUGUGGUCCCUGUGGCCCAAAAUUCUAAGAACUAAAAGUCAGAGUCUGCCCUAGCACAGAAGGUAACUGUCGUAAAAGUCCCAUCAAGUACAGAGAAUAAUGGGAAGCCCACAGCAGUCAUUGGUCCAUAGCAAUUAUGGAAAACUCUGGAACAGAACCAGUGAGGUCUCUUGGCCUUGGCCAUGGUCUUUUGUCCUUGGUUAACCAGCCUGGCCAGUUGCUUCACCCUCUCCCUCUGGGAGAAUCUCCCUUAAACAUUUUCCCCAUUGUUCUCCCCUCUGGAAGCCUCUUUCUCAUCCAUUUCCCCCCCCCAGCUGCAUCUCAGAACAGUGUUUGGGAGGAUAACUUUCCAUAGAAAUUCACAGCCCUUAAAUCGUGCCUCUUGUUUGGGUUUGGAUGUUCAGGAAUAGUGUUAGGGAUUUAAGAAUCAUAGGAUGUUGCAGGUCAGGUUGGGCUUCCGAUGGCAAAUGUCUCUCUCAAAACUUAGUUGACUUUGGUUUUAAUUGCUUCCAGUCCAUUCCAUGUGCAAGUAACCACAUGGAACCAAAAAUCCUAUCAAAACGUAAUUUUUAGGGCUAAGGCUGCUUGCCUUUUUUUUUUUUUUUUUCGUGGUACGCGGGCCUCUCACUGUUGUGGUCUCUCCCGCUGCGGAGCACAGGCUCCGGACGCGCAGGCUCAGCGGCCAUGGCUCACGGGCCCAGUCGCUCCGCAGCAUGUGGGAUCUUCCCGGACCGGGGCACGAACCCGUGUCCCCUGCAUCGGCAGGCGGACUCUCAACCACUGCGCCACCAGGGAAGCCCCUAGUUGGCUUUUAUAUGGAUCUCAAGGGAAAUUUGAGAAUGUUCCUUUUAAUGAAAGAACACUGGGUGUGGCCAAAAUGAGUCAAGCGCCUAGGAAAGUUCUGUCUAUAGCCUGUUUUCCUUCUGUCAGUAUCACUUCGCGAUGCUUCCAAUCAUUCAGCUGGCAAACAUCUACUGAGUGCCUGCCACCAUGCAGGCCACACACCAACCCCCGGGGCCCCAGGGGUGAAGAAGACAUUGCCCAUGCCUUCAUGUGAUAAGCAGGCUGGACGGGGAGGCAACUGUUCAGUAGAAAGGUGAAAGGCCACAUCAUAGGGUCACGACAAAGAUAGUCACAGCCAUUCAGCAGGCCGUGGAGCAUACCGCGGCACAUAGAGUGGUGAGCAAAAGUCAUCAAUAAGAAGA